rnacentral:rRNA from 1 species
UUUCCAGACUCCUACGGGAGGCAGCAGUGGGGAAUAUUGCACAAUGGGGGAAACCCUGAUGCAGCGACGCCGCGUGAGUGAAGAAGUCUUUCGGUAUGUAAAGCUCUAUCAGCAGGGAAGAAGUUGACGGUACCUGAUUAAGAAGCCCCGGCUAACUACGUGCCAGCAGCCGCGGUAAUACGUAGGGGGCAAGCGUUAUCCGGAUUUACUGGGUGUAAAGGGAGCGUAGACGGCAGCACAAGUCUGGAGUGAAAUGCCGGGGCUUAACCCCGGAACUGCUUUGGAAACUGUGCAGCUAGAGUGCAGGAGAGGUAAGUGGAAUUCCUAGUGUAGCGGUGAAAUGCGUAGAUAUUAGGAAGAACACCAGUGGCGAAGGCGGCUUUCUGGACUGAAACUGACGCUGAGGCACGAAAGCGUGGGGAGCGAACAGGAUUAGAUACCCCAGUA